GCCUGCCUAGCUCAGUUGGAAGAGCAUUGGGCUAGUAUUCCAAAGGUCGUAGGUUCGAAUCCCACCGUGGCCG